rnacentral:lncRNA from 1 species
UUGUGCUCAUAUAGAAAAUCGGCGUUAUUGUUUGGGCAACCAAGUACUCACAAGGCCUGAAACUCUUGAAGAUCACCAAUGGUAUCAGGAAUUGGUCCAACGAGGUUAUUCUCCGACACAUCACUGCCAACGACGGUGAGAAAAAAACAUCUGGAUUAGAACCUGUUAAAUGAAGUUUGGCUUUAGCAAUGUUGCUCUUGAUUUGAUGAAUAUUGAGCUCUACGCUGACCGACGGAAAGGGCAGAUCUUUCUUGUAGGAUACUCAUCUGUGAAUUGAAACAGUGAGAAGGGGCGUUUACAUGGUUAUGAGCCUAGAAGAAAAGUUGCUCGGGAACGUUUCUGCAAAUUGAUUCUUGCUCAAGUCCCUGCAACGAGAAGCGGACUUAGAAUGAUCCGUUUUAAAAUGAUUCGAUUUCAAUUGGAUAUAAUCUUGCAACCCAAACCAUUGACAAACUGAUUGAUUGAUUGAUUGAUUGAUUGUACGCAUGUGUAUGCGUAAUCUACCUACAGAAAGUUAUCUUGCUUUUCCAUUGUCAACAAAAAAAUAUACUUACAA